CUACGGGAUGCACCAGUGAGGAAUAUUGCACAAUGGGGGGAAUCCUGAUGCAGCAACGCCGCGUGGAGGAUGACGCAUUUCGGUGUGUAAACUCCUUUUAUAUGUCAAGAAAAUGACGGUAGCAUAUGAAUAAGCACCGGCUAACUCCGUGCCAGCAGCCGCGGUAAUACGGAGGGUGCAAGCGUUACUCGGAAUCACUGGGCGUAAAGGACGCGUAGGCGGGCUUGUAAGUCAGGUGUGAAAUCCUACAGCUUAACUGUAGAACUGCACUUGAAACUACGAGCCUAGAGUAUGGGAGGGGCAGAUGGAAUUAGUGGUGUAGGGGUAAAAUCCGUAGAUAUCACUAGGAAUACCUAAAGCGAAGGCGAUCUGCUGGAACAUAACUGACGCUAAGGCGUGAAAGCGUGGGGAGCAAACAGGAUUAGAUACCCGCGUAGUC
rnacentral:rRNA from 1 species